CAUUAGCCCCAAUAGUAGCGGCAUCCUUUUUUGCAAUGGAAAAGCCUUGGCAAAAAGAUAUAGCGGAUAGCGGGAUUAAGC
rnacentral:sRNA from 1 species